AGCUUUGCGCAGUGGCAGUAUCGUAGCCAAUGAGGUUUAUCCGAGGCGCGAUUAUUGCUAAUUAAAGAACACUACAAGAUUCUGGGACAUUUUCUUUUUUUUUAAAUAAAUAAUAUACUAUUUAAUUGUGUCAAUGUA
rnacentral:snRNA from 1 species